rnacentral:rRNA from 1 species
AUUGAACGCUGGCGGCAGGCUUAACACAUGCAAGUCGAGCGGAGCGAGGGUGCUUGCACCUUAGCUUAGCGGCGGACGGGUGAGUAAUGCUUAGGAAUCUGCCUAUUAGUGGGGGACAACAUUCCGAAAGGAAUGCUAAUACCGCAUACGCCCUACGGGGGAAAGCAGGGGAUCUUCGGACCUCGCGCUAAUAGAUGAGCCUAAGUCGGAUUAGCUAGUUGGUGGGGUAAAGGCCUACCAAGGCGACGAUCUGUAGCGGGUCUGAGAGGAUGAUCCGCCACACUGGGACUGAGACACGGCCCAGACUCCUACGGGAGGCAGCAGUGGGGAAUAUUGGACAAUGGGCGGAAGCCUGAUCCAGCCAUGCCGCGUGUGUGAAGAAGGCCUUUUGGUUGUAAAGCACUUUAAGCGAGGAGGAGGCUCUUAAGGUUAAUACCCUUGAUGAGUGGACGUUACUCGCAGAAUAAGCACCGGCUAACUCUGUGCCAGCAGCCGCCGUAAGAC